GGCGCACGGGUGAGUAGCGCGUAAGUUAUCUACCCUCCCAUCUGGAAUAACUCACCCGAAAGGUGUGCUAAUACGGGAUACGUUGGAAACAAGAAAAGGUGGCCUCUAUUUAUAAGCUACCCGUGGGGGGGAUGAGCUUGCGUACCAUUAGCUAGUUGGUAGGGUAAUGGCCUACCAAGGCAACGAUGGUUAGCGGGUCUGAGAGGAUGAUCCGCCACACUGGAACUGGAACACGGACCAGACUCCUACGGGAGGCAGCAGUGAGGAAUAUUGCGCAAUGGGGGAAACCCUGACGCAGCGACGCCGCGUGGAUGAUGAAGGCCUUUGGGUCGUAAAAUCCUGUCAGAUGGAAAGAAAUGCUAUAGUAUUAAUACUGCUAUAGUUUGACGGUACCAUCAAAGGAAGCACCGGCUAACUCCGUGCCAGCAGCCGCGGUAAUACGGAGGGUGCAAGCGUUGUUCGGAAUUACUGGGCGUAAAGCGCGCGUAGGUGGCUUUUUAAGUCAGAUGUGAAAGUCCACGGCUCAACCGUGGAAGUGCAUUUGAAACUGGAAAGCUUGAGUAUUGGAGGGGGUAGUGGAAUUCCCGGUGUAGAGGUGAAAUUCGUAGAUAUCGGGAGGAAUACCAGUGGCGAAGGCGACUACCUGGCCAAAUACUGACACUGAGGUGCGAAAGCGUGGGGAGCAAACAGGAUUAGAUACCCUGGUAGUCCACGCCGUAAACGAUGUCAACUAGGUGUUGGGAAGGUUAAUCUUCUCAUUGCCGCAGCUAAC
rnacentral:rRNA from 1 species